GGAUGUGAGGGUGAUCUGGCUGUGACAUCUGUCACUCCACUGAUUGCCAGGGUUGAUUCAGCUGCUCUGGCUGGCUAGGCAGGUGUCCCCUUCCUCCCUCACUGCUCCGUGUGUGUCCCUCCUCAAACUGCACCCUCCUUCCCAAAGGACACCACCCACCCCCACCCCCACCCCCACAAAGGGGGGCGGUUUCCUCUGUCAGGACUAUGCAGUAGCUGUGCUCCCCUGCUAGGACCUCCAAACAAGCUGUCAAGAUUGAAACCAGGGCUUUUGCACUAAGCUACAUCUCUAGCCCCUUUUUAAAUGUUUUGUUUUGAGGCAGUGUCUUCCUAGAUUGCUUA
ensembl:misc_RNA 7SK 7SK RNA